CCCUAUCCGUUCGGAAUCAAAGUGGUCGCGUUAUUUAAGAAAGAAAGCUUUGGAUACCAAGAGAGGAAGGUUUUCUCCCUCUAAUGGAACUGCAGAUGAAGCAGGGCCAUCUAAUGUGGCUUUAUGUGAACCUGGAGCAUUAAGCAGUGAUUCUGAAGAUGCUGAAUCAGAUGAGGAUUAUGUGGAACAUACGCAUGAAGUGAUUCCUGAAAUUCCAGCAAACAUUGUUGCUUUGCUUCAGAUAGCUGAAAAUACAGACGUUCUUGAUUUUGGA